UAUUAUACUGGAUACUGGGAAAAGGUUCUCAGUCAUCGACGAGGGAAAAACGCCGCCGAUCGAAACGCGUAUAUUGUAUAUAGUAGCAAUGUGGAAUAGUUAUUUAGCUUAUUGCUAAUAACCGCAGCAGCAUCCGGAAUUGAAUGAGUCGUCUCUCGCGUAUCCGUUGCGCAAUACCGUGGUAAAACAAAACGAACAAAUACGCAGUAGUCACCGUUUACUUUAACAUUAUUAUAUUCGUAUUUUAUUGUUUUACGGUUAUUAAAUUGAAUUGUUUUUAGUUUAUAUCAUUCUUUUAUACAUUACACUAAUCAACUUUUUCUCGUGUAUAGGUACCUCACCACCGUACACCACGCAGUCUCUGAUCCUCUGGAGAACGGAGUCAAGGCCAAACCGUUUUGUUCCGGGUGCGCCCCGUAUACAUAUUUAAUAUUAUAUUAUGUAUGUGUAGUACCUAUACCUAUAUAUACGGUGACCUCCAAAUCUCUUGCCACAGCACUAGCAAUAUGAAAUAAAGGCAACGACAUAAUGAAAUUGAAAUUGAAUUGACACUUAUAUCGUUACAAAAAUAAAAAAAACCUACCGAUACUCAAUGCCUUCAACGUUCGUAGAUACAAAAAUGGUAUAGGCUACCGUCGCUAAUGGUUUUGCCCUAUUCCAUUCAUUGCUCGCCGGGGUCUUGACCUUCGGAGGAAAAAAUAAAAUAAAAGGACGACCGUAUAAUAUUAUAUAUAAACUCGACUAGGGUUAAGUUUUUUUGUUUUCCUGUCGUUUUUACAAUUGUUAUUAUUUCGUUUUGACCGAAAUCGCCGGAAUUAAAAGUACUGAGAUACGAACACGCACGCGCGUACGGACCUAGUAUCACUUAAAAUGUGGUACGAAAGGAUUUUGGAAGUAGGCCAAACGACUGUGCGUAUGUGCGGUGUAAGUGUAUACUGGUGCUGCAGCACCGGUGUAUGUUGUGGAUGCGAAAUUUUUAUCGGUUGAAAAAAAAGAGACGUGCUCGCAAUGAAAAUAGCGAACCGACAAGCCAACAGCCAACA